CCCUUAGAUGUUCUGGGCCGCACACGCGCUACACUGAAGGAGGCAGCGUGCACUCCUGGAUCGAAAGAUUUGGGUAACCCGCGAAUCUCCUUCGUGCUAGGGAUUGAGGUUUGCAAUUAUCCUUCAUGAACGAGGAAUUCCCAGUAAGUGCAAGUCAUAAGCUUGCGCUGACUACGUCCCUGCCCUUUGUACACACCGCCCGUCGCUACUACCGAUUGAAUGAUUUAGUGAGGACUUCGGACUGGGACCGAUGCGGCUUUCGGGCUGCGUCGGUAUUCUGGAAAGAUGUCCAAACUGUAUCAUUUAGAGGAAGUAAAAGUCGUAACA
rnacentral:rRNA from 1 species